rfam:Triticum urartu cultivar G1812 contig1051782, whole genome shotgun sequence.
CUUGUACUCUCUCCGUUCGAAAUUACUUGUCUCGAAUAUGGGUGUAUCUAGAACUAAAAUAUGUCUAGAUGCAUCCAUUUCUGCGACAAGUAAUUCCGAACGGAGGGAGUACAUA